AAAAAAAAAAAAACGAAAACGAAAUAUUUCGCGUAGGAGUUUCGUUAAUAUUUAUGUUCAUCCUAUAGAGUUUCUACGCGUAGAGAUUAAUCCCCGUCAUCGAUUAUCAUUCAUUCUUAAUAUCGAAAUUGUUCCUCCGGAGCGGCUCGAAAAAAUUCCGUCGGAAGGAAAGCAAAGUAUGGAGUCGGUGAGGAAAUCUGAUUGAAAAGUUUGCUGAUGUUUCGUUUAAUUUCAUUUAAACCGAAUCGUUUUAUCCCUUGAAAAUAUAUAGGACAGGGUAAGUACAUCGUACACACGGAUCGCAGAUGCCGCCUUGUUUUCGUCAUCCAAUUUCGGAAGCUGAAGCGAUCGAAAGCACAUCCUUGAGGAUUAUGACGCAAUGCGUGGAUAUCCAGACGGCCCCGUGCUGCAGCACGCUAACAUUCGAUAGGUGCGUUUUUAUCGAAUGAUAAUGAUGAAGAAAUCACGAAGGGAAGAAAGUCGCGAGGGAAAUUAAUUUUUUUUAGGUAGGCAUGUAUAAAUUUUAUUAUACAAAAGUUGCCGACACCCAACACAGCGGAGAGAAGCGCACGUUCAACUGACUAAACUAAAUGAAGUCAAAGCAUCUUUAUACAGAACGGAUCCUACGUACCCUGCAUCACCGCUAACACAACUUCCAUACCAACUAUAAGAUAUGUGAAAUUUACGACUAGCGCGUUCUGAAGAGAUUCUUUGGACGACGAUGAUGAAUGUGCAAAAUAUUAAUACAUGAAUCAACGUUCAAAAACCGCAAAAUCCUGAGCAAAAAAUUACAACCCCUCAGAUGAAAUCAUCGUCGCAACUUCGUAACGUCGGUCUCCUCGUACGUGAUGAUUUACUGCGGUAUACCCUUAUCCGGUUAUCCAUGCAGCUUAAGGAAUAAAUUUUGCAAUCUUUACUGCGUGUAUCAGACAUUAGUUUUGCUAGUAAUUAGAAAUCUACGCGAAAUUGACCGUAAUAGUUGUCGAUGGAACGUUCGUCGCCUAGACACGAGUAUACCUAUACAUCCGUAAGAUGAGUCUGUGGCUAAUAAGCUCAUAUUGCAGGCAAGUAUUUAAUGGCGUGCGAAUAUCCUGACCCGUUUAAACACCAACUAAUCAUGAGGUUCACGCUAUAUUACUGCAUAAGUUUUUACGAUCAUCAUCACACAGUAAGUACUAUCCUAUUAACUGCUAUAUAAGUCGACUUCUUACGUACGUUUGGUUUUUUAUCAUUUUUCUUCUUCAUUUUUCUUCUCUUUCUUUCAUUUUCCACGCGCGCAUUUUUCCCAUCCACAAUAUAUACCUAUACCAUCCAUACGUUCGAAACGAAUCGGCGAAUUUGACGAGCUUAGAUGAUUCUUUGCUAAAGAAUUUUGUUCUCUUCUUUUGAUUUUUUUCCUCUUCAAUUCCUUUGUUAUCUAAUUAUAUUUCA
rnacentral:lncRNA from 1 species